UGCGUAGGUGGCGCCGUAAGUCAGGUGUGAAAUUUCGGAGCUUAACUCCGAAACUGCAUUUGAUACUGCGGUGCUUGAGGACUGGAGAGGAGACUGGAAUUCACGGUGUAGCAGUGAAAUGCGUAGAGAUCGUGAGGAAGACCAGUGGCGAAGGCGGGUCUCUAGACAGUUCCUGACACUGAGGCACGAAGGCCAGGGGAGCAAACG
rnacentral:rRNA from 1 species